CGGCCGAGCCCCGGGGAGCCUCGGCGGUGCCAGGGCAGCGCGGCGGCUGCGGCGGCGCGGAGGGACCCCUCGGCUGUUGCCCGACGUGCGCAACAUCUUCGCGGCCCCGCGGGAAGCGGCGGAACGCGGCCGCGGUCACCGCUUCGUCCCCCGCGCCCCGCGCCGCGGUUGGUGCGAUCUGUGCGGAGCGGCCGUGCGGGAGCGCGCCCUGCGCUGCGACUGUGAGUGCUGCCGUCCCGCUGCCCCCGCCUGCCGUCCCGCAAUUCUGCCCCGCACCGCAUCCCGCACCCUGCCCUCCUCCCCGCCGACACCGCUCCGUGCCCCCCAUUCCCAGCCCCGGGUCCCCCCGCCGAGCUGUCCCCAUGGGGUGCGGGGCCUUGCGGGGGAUGCGGGAGUUGAGGUUUUUCCGGGGCAGAUGGGAUUAUCGGCUCAUCGGGCAGGAAGGGCUCGUGGUCGUAACGCUUUACGGUGGAGCUAAAUCCUUCCAGAAAUAGCACGUUAGGAACAUCUCCCUUACGUUUGUUGGGCGCCUCGCUCUGCUCCAAACCCAGCAGGAACUCGCUAGGAGGACGCGCAGUGCUCCCGACGGGUGCAUUAACGCUUGGUUCUGCGGGAGGGGUUCACAUUCCCAUCGUGUGUGUGUGUGGGGGGGAGUGAACGGGGUGUCCUCGGGCAGAUGCAGCCCGUGUGCAUCGCUGUGUGGAGGUGGCGUAAGGACUGGGCCACGCUGGCUGGGCAGCCCUGCGUUACAGGCAGCAGAAGUGAGCAACGCAGGUGCCGCAAAUCAGCUGUAAUGCUAAAAAGUCGCACCUGCUGCCUUGUUAUUCCAUACCUGAAUGGGGAAAGGGCCCACAGGCUACGAGGAGUGUCUGGGGAUGUGCCCCUGGUGCUGCUCCUCCUGCCCAAGCAGUGUGCCCAGCAGGAUGUUUUCAGACUGCAGGUACACGUGCCACCAGCAGUGCCGCAGCCUCGUCCAGCUGGACUGCCGCCGGCCUGACCCCGGGCAGCUCUCUCCUGAGGGCACCAUUGUGCUCCCCUGCAGCCAGGUAUGCCCUCGUGGUGGUCAGCCUCUCUCCCAAACUCCAUUCCUUGCUCUUAGCAGGAUGAGAUUUUGUUGCAGAGGUUGGCAUGUGGCCCCAGCUGAAGCUUGCUAAUAAAUUCCCUCUAUCCCUGUGUGUCUUGUGCACAUCAUCUGGUGGGAGGAGGUGGUGUGCGUUGGCCCUUUCCCCUGCCUUUAAAUGUGGAUGCAGGUGUCUGAUGGAUGCAAAGCACUGCAUGGCACAGGAGGAGAAGUGAAGGUGCGCUCUGCCAAGAGGCAGAAGAAAUGCAAGUGUGGGUCUGGCAGUGAGAUCUGGCUUCAUGUCUUUCAGCAACCCUGGGGGGACUGAGGCUCCCCAUUCUGGGUUAGGGAUGUGCACGUACCUCAGGCUGCUCUGAGGGUUUUGGCAUGGAAUGCAUCUAAAUGCAGCACUGUGUGCUUGGUGCUGCUGGGAGAUGCUGCUGGGCUGGGUGGCUUCUCCCUUGAGUUCUCUGAGUAAGGGACUGAGGCCAUGGAUGUGUUUCUUUGCAUCUUCCUCACGUGUCAGUGGGUUUCCCCAUCAGUGUUAGAAAAGUGUGAUUUUUAGUAAAAUUAAAGGCUUGUUUCCUCUUUAGGGUGAUGAAGGCAGUGGGGGGUUAUUGGUGGC
ensembl:lncRNA